UUGUUUCAGAUCUAGAGGUCAUAAAACUCUACCAGAUGUAUGAAAAAUUAAAACAAAGCGGGGUGUUAUAUGUCAUCCUAAUUUCUGGUGGAUGUUUGGCUGGAGUACGUUUCCGUCACCUAUACUGUAUUACAAUCUAAGAGACUCAAGGAGGGAAAAAAAACAGCAUGGUCAGCAUGGAUGAAGGGUCAUCCAGUGACAGUGAGUCAGAAGACGAUGGGACAUCUGAUGAUAGCUCAUAAGGGCUUUACACUUCAGUGACCCUAAUGAAUCUCAAAUGUCUGCAGAUACCAGCAAUAUUAGGUCAUCCUGGCCACUACCCUUCUUAAAACUGUCAAUUAAAAUCAUAUAUAUUGCAUUA